CUCCUUUUUUAUAUGAAAAGAUAAAAUAAUUAUUUUAUAAAAAUACUUACUUUCUUUCUCUCCCCCUUUCUAGUCACAUAACCAACUUGCAAAAAUACUUUCUUUCUCUUCCCCUUUCUAGUCAGAUAACCAACUUGUAAAAAGUACAAAAAAUUUUUCUCUCUCUCUUUCUUAUUUCUCUCCCUUUUUGACAUCAUCAAAAAUAGAUUAAAGAGAGUUUAUAAAUAGUAAAAUUUUUAAUAAGUGAGAGAAGUAGGUUAUGAGCUACGGUCCUACAGCAGGUAUCAGAGUAACUUUUAAUUGAAUAGAAAUUUAUUCAUAAAU
rnacentral:lncRNA from 1 species